rnacentral:rRNA from 1 species
GACAGCAGCAGCCACGGGAACACGAAGGGUGCAAGCGUUAAUCGGAAUUACUGGGCGUAAAGCGUGCGUAGGCGGUGAGUUAAGUCUGCUGUGAAAUCCCCGGGCUCAACCUGGGAAUGGCAGUGGAUACUGGCUCGCUAGAGUGUGUCAGAGGAUGGUGGAAUUCCCGGUGUAGCGGUGAAAUGCGUAGAGAUCGGGAGGAACAUCAGUGGCGAAGGCGGCCAUCUGGGACAACACUGACGCUGAGGCACGAAAGCGUGGGGAGCAAACAGGAUUAGAUACCCGAGUAGUCCCUGUCUCUUAUAC